CCUCUUCCGGUCCCAUCUCUGUGUGCUUGCAUCCAACUGUGAUGAGCCCAUGUAUGUCAAGCUGGCGGAGGCACUUUGUGAGAUCAGAAGA